CCCUCAGAUGUUCUGGGCUGCACGCGUGCUACACUGAAGUGUCAUAGCGAGUUACCUAUCUUUAACGGGAAGGGUAAUCUUGAAUGCACUUCGUGAUGGGGAUAGAUCAUUGCAAUUAUUGAUCUUCAACGAGGAAUUCCUAGUAAGCGCAAGUCAUCAGCUUGCGCUGAUUACGUCCCUGCCCUUUGUACACACCGCCCGUCGCACCUACCGAUUGAAUGGUCCGGUGAAAUCUCGGGACGGCGGCUUGGUCGCUUGCGUCCGACUGCUGAAACUUGAUUAAACCAUAUCAUUUAGAGGAAGGUGAAGUCGUAACA
rnacentral:rRNA from 1 species